rnacentral:snoRNA from 1 species
CUCUUUGUCAAUGAUGUUUUCAGUACAAAUGUCUGAACAUAUGAAUUUCAGUGAUUCUUAUUUUUUUUAAACUGAGACAAGAG